rnacentral:ncRNA from 1 species
ACUCAUUUUAUUCUGGUGAAUGUAUUAAACCUCUACAUCAAUCGGACAUGGAGUUUUUUGAAUAACCAGCCGUAAACAUUAAUUAAUGCUAGAAAUAGUGAAUUAGUGAAGUAGAGUAUAUCAUUAACAAAAUAGGUGCCAGCAGUUGCGGUCAUACCUGAAAUGAUUUAAUACCUUUAGGUGGGCAUAGUACAAAGACUAAGAAAAAAGAAACAUCCAUCAGUAAAAUGCUGAUGUUUUAGUAGUUGCCGUAUUCUUAGUAGUACUUGUAAUGCCGAAACUCUUUAAAAUUAGCAAACUAGGAUUAGAUACCCUACUAUGGAGAGCGCAAGUCACCACACCUAAGCACUAAAACCUAUGUAAUGGUUAAAACUUAAAGAUUAUGGCGGCAACUUAAAAUACUCAGGGGAACUUACCAGGUAAUCGACAGCACCCGUGAGGCACUACUCACUUUAAUAAUUUAUAUAUUGCCGUUUAGGGUUUUGUUUAAGAAUACCUAAUAAUGUUAUAACAUUUAAAACAGGUCAUGAUGUAGUUUAUGAGUGAGUCUUAAGGUGAGUUACAGUAUUAAUUUUUUUUUCAGAGUUGAGUUUAAAUAUCUCGACACAAGGUGGACUUGAAAGUAAAGAUCACUUCAUAAUAAAUCUUGAAUAAUAGUUUAAGUUGUGCACAAAUCGCCCGUCGCUCUAACCUUACUUACCUUUCCUACGUAAGUAAUAAUUAGAUAAGUCGUAACACAGUAGGUGUAAAUGAAUUUGCACCUGUUUGUGA